CGACGAUUUUAUUGGAUGCUAAUACCUUUUUAGACAAUUUUUUCUCGUCAACUAACGGUAUUUCGGAUGGUUUGCACCCAUAUGGGUCUCAAGUGCAUAUUUAUGAAAAAUUAAGAACCUCUGCUGGCAUAAAAGUAAAGGUUAAAGUAAAGUCUUAAAAAAAAAGAAAAAAAGAUUAAAGACUGUUGCUAAUUUUCCCUUUAUUUAUUGAUUGCAUCAGUUAUAUUAUUUGAUUAUUGUGAUUUUGAUUUUUGUGUUGAUGACAGCUAAACUUUCUAUAGUUUCCAUGAAUUGAGUCAAAUUGAAUUUGAAUCCAAUCUAAUCCUUUAGCCAAAAGAGCCACAAACUGAUGGAUAUUUUCAACUGGAAGGGACAAACAGAUGGAGAGUAAGUAAGAAAUUUGUACUCUUUCCACCAAUGUUCAUACUUGAUAUUUAGACUGACAUAUCAACAUGUUCACACUUGAAAUUUGGACCAGCAUUCAUGUGAUGUGAUCAUGGUAACCCAGCACUAUUAUUAAUAAAAUAAUUUCCACGAGCCUAGUGGGAAACGAAGACUUAAAUACAAUUGACCCAAUUCACAAUAAUUGGAGAGCUACCAUUGCUUAACAUAUAAAUAUAAUAU
rnacentral:lncRNA from 1 species